rnacentral:rRNA from 1 species
UCCUGACACAGGGAGGUAGUGACAAGAAAUAACAAUACAGGGCUAUUUUAGUCUUGUAAUUGGAAUGAGUACAAUUUACAUCUCUUCACGAGGAUCAAUUGGAGGGCAAGUCUGGUGCCAGCAGCCGCGGUAAUUCCAGCUCCAAUAGCGUAUAUUAAAGUUGUUGCAGUUAAAACGCUCGUAGUCGGAUUUCGGGGCGGGGCGACCGGUCUGCCGAUGGGUAUGCACUGGUCGGCGCGUCCUUCCUUCCGGAGACCGUGCCUACUCUUAACUGAGCGGGUACGGGAGACGGAUCGUUUACUUUGAAAAAAUCAGAGUGUUUCAAGCAGGCAACUCGCUUUGCAUGGAUUAGCAUGGGAUAAUGAAAUAGGACUUUGGUGCUAUUUUGUUGGUUUCGAACACCGAAGUAAUGAUUAAUAGGGACA